rnacentral:lncRNA from 1 species
GGAAAUCCUAUCCUCUCGGGCCACCGGGAGAGCGGCCGCCUCCGCGGGACGGCCGGGAGGGGCAGUGGGACGCGGCGGCAUCGGAGCGGGGCACGCGGAUCAAUUCCUCCCGGCUCAGGAGCGGUGCGGAUGUCCUGGGGGCGCUGUCCAAAGGCCCAGAUGCUGACAUUUCCCUGCGCACCGCAACAGACGGCAGUGCCAUGGUGAGGCCACAUCCAAAUCCCGAAACCCUCCAACAGACAGAGAACCGCGGCUGAAUGAAGCCGCACUGGAGGGUGGGCCAGCAAGGACGGAAGAAGACGCCCCACGCGUGCCUGGGGAACAACCUCGUUUCAUCUCCGGCCUCUUUACCGAGCAGCCGGCCCCCGGCACCGACUCUCCCUCUCAGGACGAGCUGCGGACACGGACGGGAAGCGGGAGCGGCCCUGCCUUGCACACGGCGGCACCUCCGGGAACCUCCCGGCAGGGUGCCCACCAGCCAGAGGGCCGGAACCCGGUGCCGAGGGGGAGCUCGGCGAGACGCAGCCGCCGGCAGGGGAACCCCUGCGGGCAUCGCCCCCGCCGCCCGCGCCACCGCCGGGACGGGGGCGGCUUUGACCCGCGCACAGAACCGAAGGCAGGCCGGGGGCUGCCGGGGCCGGCCCAGCGGCGCUCCGCGGCCCCCGCAGCCCGGCGGGGCCCGGCCCUGGCGCUCCCCGGCAGCGCGGGGCCGUUCCCCCGGCUCUCGGCACGCAAACCCCGCGGCUGGCGGAGCCCUCCCGGGGGCACAGCGGCGCUGGGGGGGGGCCGCCGCGAGGACGGCAGGGCCCGGAGCCUCCCGGGCCCGGGGCUGCGGCUCGGCGAGGCCGGCACCGGGCGGCCUGCCCCAGGAAGGAAGGAGGGAGGGAGGGAGGGAGGGAGGGAGGGAGGGAGAGGCCGGCCCCGGCCCGCGCCGCCCGCCCCGGUCCUGGUCCCCCGGAGCCCCCCGGGGCCUCACCUGGGUCGCCGCGCGCCGCUCCCGCCCGUGCCGCGUGCAGCUCCCCGCCCUGCCCCCACCGCCCCGCCCGGCGCCGCCAAUCGGCGCCCGGCGCCGCCGGCACGGCCGGCCAAUGAGCGAGCGGAACGCGUCCCCGCCCAGCGCCGAGCCGGCCGCCGGGACCCGCCCUUCUGCUCGCCCGCGAGCCUAUCCCGUGACGGGGCGCGGCGCGCGGAGAGGGGCGGGGCGCGGCGCGCGGCGCCCAAUGAGAAAUCACAGCGCGUCCCGCCGCG